GAGGGGGGCCCGCACAAGCGGUGGAGCAUGUGGUUUAAUUCGAUGCAACGCGAAGAACCUUACCUGGUCUUGACAUCCACAGAACUUUCCAGAGAUGGAUUGGUGCCUUCGGGAACUGUGAGACAGGUGCUGCAUGGCUGUCGUCAGCUCGUGUUGUGAAAUGUUGGGUUAAGUCCCGCAACGAGCGCAACCCUUAUCCUUUGUUGCCAGCGGUYCGGCCGGGAACUCAAAGGAGACUGCCAGUGAUAAACUGGAGGAAG
rnacentral:rRNA from 1 species